GCUGCUUCCACUUCGGGUUCUCGUUAUUUCUUUUGCAGAUGAAGUCAGCGCUCCCAGCAGGAUCCCUUGAAACGUUCUGGGGCACGGCUGAUACCCGCUCGUCCCCUUGCGAUGGCAAACGCCUGGUCCAGAUUUAGGGAGUCGCCGGUGGUGAGGCUGGACAAGAUCCUGAGCUAACACAGCAGCUGAAGUGGAUGAGAACAUCGAUAGCUCAGAAAGCUGUGAGAGCAUGUGCUGAAGAUGCCAAGACUUUCUGAAGCUGAACUUGUACGGGAACCAGAAUGGGAAGAUCCAGAUGAUGAUCUGCAGCGUCUGUAAGAUAUAAAUGGAGAAAGCAUGCAAAGAAAUAAGUUGAAAUCAAUUUUAACAUCCACUUUGAGUAGUCUGUAUCCUAUAAUAGCUGGAAGCCAAGUAUAUUUGAUAGGGGCCUUAUCAGAAUAUAAAGAUAACUUUACACCACUUUAAGCUUAUGAAUAUGAAUUUAAUACUAAAAAUGUACAGUAAGUUUAAUAUUGAAAGUAGAAAACAACUUCUAAAUGCAAUAUUUACUUAGGAAAAUAAAUCAAUAACGUACACAUUA